rnacentral:rRNA from 1 species
UGCAGUCGAACGAGACUCCGGGGCUUGCUCCGGGGAAAAGUGGCGCACGGGUGAGUAACACGUAGGUAACGUUCCUAUUGGUCUGGAAUAACCUGCCGAAAGGCGGGCUAAUACCGGAUACGUUUCUUUGUGGUUUGCCACGAGGAAAGAAAGCGGGGCAACUCGCGCCAGAUGAUCGGCCUGCGUCCCAUCAGCUAGUUGGUGAGGUAACGGCUCACCAAGGCUACGACGGGUAGCUGGUCUGAGAGGAUGAUCAGCCACACUGGGACUGAGACACGGCCCAGACUCCUACGGGAGGCAGCAGUGGGGAAUAUUGGUCAAUGGGCGAAGGCCUGAACCAGCAAUGCCGCGUGAGUGAUGAAGGCCUUCGGGUUGUAAAGCUCUGUCGGGAGGGACGAAAAAACUCGGGUCACUCCGAGUCUUGACGGUACUUCCAAAGGAAGCACCGGCUAACUCUGUGCCAGCAGCCGCGGUAAUACAGAGGGUGCAAGCGUUGUUCGGAAUUACUGGGCGUAAAGCGCGUGUAGGCUGCAAUGUAAGUCGGAUGUGAAAGCCCUUGGCUCAACCAAGGAAGUGCAUCCGAUACUGCGUCGCUUGAGUGUCGGAGGGGGUGGCGGAAUUCCCGGUGUAGAGGUGAAAUUCGUAGAUAUCGGGAGGAACACCUGUGGCGAAGGCGGCCACCUGGACGACAACUGACGCUGAGACGCGAAAGCGUGGGUAGCAAACAGGAUUAGAUACCCUGGUAGUCCACGCUGUAAACGAUGAGUGCUAGGCGUCGCGGGUAUUGACCCCUGCGGUGCCGAAGUUAACACGAUAAGCACUCCGCCUGGGGAGUACGGUCGCAAGAUUAAAACUCAAAGGAAUUGACGGGGGCCCGCACAAGCGGUGGAGCAUGUGGUUUAAUUCGACGCAACGCGCAGAACC